rnacentral:rRNA from 1 species
AGCUUGCUACCUGACCUAGCGGCGGACGGGUGAGUAAUGCUUAGGAAUCUGCCUAUUAGUGGGGGACAACAUUCCGAAAGGAAUGCUAAUACCGCAUACGCCCUACGGGGGAAAGCAGGGGAUCUUCGGACCUUGCGCUAAUAGAUGAGCCUAAGUCAGAUUAGCUAGUUGGUGGGGUAAAGGCCUACCAAGGCGACGAUCUGUAGCGGGUCUGAGAGGAUGAUCCGCCACACUGGGACUGAGACACGGCCCAGACUCCUACGGGAGGCAGCAGUGGGGAAUAUUGGACAAUGGGCGAAAGCCUGAUCCAGCCAUGCCGCGUGUGUGAAGAAGGCCUUUUGGUUGUAAAGCACUUUAAGCGAGGAGGAGGCUACUGAGAUUAAUACUCUUGGAUAGUGGACGUUACUCGCAGAAUAAGCGCCGGCUAACUCUGUGCCAGCAGCCGCGGUAAUACAGAGGGUGCGAGCGUUAAUCGGAUUUACUGGGCGUAAAGCGUGCGUAGGCGGCUUUUUAAGUCGGAUGUGAAAUCCCUGAGCUUAACUUAGGAAUUGCAUCCGAUACUGGGAAGCUAGAGUAUGGGAGAGGAUGGUAGAAUUCCAGGUGUAGCGGUGAAAUGCGUAGAGAUCUGGAGGAAUACCGAUGGCGAAGGCAGCCAUCUGGCCUAAUACUGACGCUGAGGUACGAAAGCAUGGGGAGCAAACAGGAUUAGAUACCCUGGUAGUCCAUGCCGCAAACGAUGUCUACUAGCCGUUGGGGCCUUUGAGGCUUUAGUGGCGUAGCUAACGCGAUAAGUAGACCGCCUGGGGAGUACGGUCGCAAGACUAAAACUCAAAUGAAUUGACGGGGGCCCGCACAAGCGGUGGAGCAUGUGGUUUAAUUCGAUGCAACGCGAAGAACCUUACCUGGUCUUGACAUAGUAAGAACUUUCCAGAGAUGGAUUGGUGCCUUCGGGAACUUACAUACAGGUGCUGCAUGGCUGUCGUCAGCUCGUGUCGUGAGAUGUUGGGUUAAGUCCCGCAACGAGCGCAACCCUUUUCCUUAUUUGCCAGCGGGUUAAGCCGGGAACUUUAAGGAUACUGCCAGUGACAAACUGGAGGAAGGCGGGGACGACGUCAAGUCAUCAUGGCCCUUACGACCAGGGCUACACACGUGCUACAAUGGUCGGUACAAAGGGUUGCUACCUAGCGAUAGGAUGCUAAUCUCAAAAAGCCGAUCGUAGUCCGGAUUGGAGUCUGCAACUCGACUCCAUGAA